GGCUCAGAACGAACGCUGGCGGCGUGGAUUAGGCAUGCAAGUCGAACGCGAAAGAGGGAGCAAUCCCUCGAGUAGAGUGGCGAACGGGUGAGUAACGCGUGAGAAACCUGCCUUCAACAGGGGGAUAACACUCCUAACGGGGUGCUAAUACCGCAUGAGACCACGGGGCUGCAUGGCCCUGAGGUCAAAGGUGGCCUCUACUUGUAAGCUACCGGUUGAAGAUGGUCUCGCGUCCCAUUAGCUAGUUGGCGGGGUAACGGCCCACCAAGGCGACGAUGGGUAGCUGGUCUGAGAGGAUGGUCAGCCACACUGGGACUGAGAUACGGCCCAGACUCCUACGGGAGGCAGCAGUCGAGAGGCUUCGGCAAUGGGGGAAACCCUGACCGAGCGACGCCGCGUGCAGGAUGAAGGCCCUUGGGUUGUAAACUGCUUUUAUCGGGGAAGAAAUGUGAUCAGGUGAACAAUCUGGUCGCUUGACGGUACCCGAUGAAUAAGCUCCGGCUAACUCCGUGCCAGCAGCCGCGGUAACACGGGGGGAGCAAGCGUUGUUCGGAAUCACUGGGCGUAAAGGGCGUGUAGGCGGUCAAGUAAGUGGAAUGUGAAAGCCCCCGGCUCACCCGGGGAUCGGCAUCCCAAACUGCUUGGCUUGAGUACGGGAGAGGAUAGGGGAAUUCCUGGUGUAGCGGUGAAAUGCGUAGAUAUCAGGAGGAACACCGGUGGCGAAGGCGCCUAUCUGGCCCGAUACUGACGCUGAGGCGCGAAAGCUAGGGGAGCAAACGGGAUUAGAUACCCCGGUAGUCCUAGCCGUAAACGGUGAUCACUAGGUGUUGGAGGCAGCGACCCCUCCAGUGCCGCAGCUAACGCAUUAAGUGAUCCGCCUGGGGAGUACGGCCGGCAGGGUGAA
rnacentral:rRNA from 1 species